GUGUGUUCCAGGUAAAUCCGGUUCACUUUAACACUGAGGCGUGAUGACGAGGCACUACGGUGCUGAAGCAACAAAUGCCCUGCUUCCAGGAAAAGCCUCUAAGCAUCAGGUAACAUCAAAUCGUACCCCAAACCGACACAGGUGGUCAGGUAGAGAAUACCAAGGCGCUUGAGAGAACUCGGGUGAAGGAACUAGGCAAAAUGGUGCCGUAACUUCGGGAGAAGGCACGCUGACACGUAGGUGAAGUGAUUUACUCAUGGAGCUGAAGUCAGUCGAAGAUACCAGCUGGCUGCAACUGUUUAUUAAAAACACAGCACUGUGCAAACACGAAAGUGGACGUAUACGGUGUGACGCCUGCCCGGUGCCGGAAGGUUAAUUGAUGGGGUCAGCGCAAGCGAAGCUCCUGAUCGAAGCCCCGGUAAACGGCGGCCGUAACUAUAACGGUCCUAAGGUAGCGAAAUUCCUUGUCGGGUAAGUUCCGACCUGCACGAAUGGCGUAAUGAUGGCCAGGCUGUCUCCACCCGAGACUCAGUGAAAUUGAACUCGCUGUGAAGAUGCAGUGUACCCGCGGCAAGACGGAAAGACCCCGUGAACCUUUACUAUAGCUUGACACUGAACAUUGAGCCUUGAUGUGUAGGAUAGGUGGGAGGCUUUGAAGUGUGGACGCCAGUCUGCAUGGAGCCGGCCUUGAAAUACCACCCUUUAAUGUUUGAUGUUCUAACGUGGACCCGUGAUCCGGGUUGCGGACAGUGUCUGGUGGGUAGUUUGACUGGGGCGGUCUCCUCCUAAAGAGUAACGGAGGAGCACGAAGGUUGGCUAAUCCUGGUCGGACAUCAGGAGGUUAGUGCAAUGGCAUAAGCCAGCUUGACUGCGAGCGUGACGGCGCGAGCAGGUGCGAAAGCAGGUCAUAGUGAUCCGGUGGUUCUGAAUGGAAGGGCCAUCGCUCAACGGAUAAAAGGUACUCCGGGGAUAACAGGCUGAUACCGCCCAAGAGUUCAUAUCGACGGCGGUGUUUGGCACCUCGAUGUCGGCUCAUCACAUCCUGGGGCUGAAGUAGGUCCCAAGGGUAUGGCUGUUCGCCAUUUAAAGUGGUACGCGAGCUGGGUUUAGAACGUCGUGAGACAGUUCGGUCCCUAUCUGCCGUGGGCGCUGGAGAACUGAGGGGGGCUGCUCCUAGUACGAGAGGACCGGAGUGGACGCAUCACUGGUGUUCGGGUUGUCAUGCCAAUGGCACUGCCCGGUAGCUAAAUGCGGAAGAGAUAAGUGCUGAAAGCAUCUAAGCACGAAACUUGCCCCGAGAUGAGUUCUCCCUGAGACUUUAGGUCUCCUGAAGGAACGUUGAAGACGACGACGUUGAUAGGCCGGGUGUGUAAGCGCAGCGAUGCGUUGAGCUAACCGGUACUAAUGAACCGUGAGGCUUAACCUUACAACGCCGAAG
rnacentral:rRNA from 2 species